rnacentral:rRNA from 1 species
UGGGGAAUCUUGGACAAUGGGCGCAACCCUGAUCCAGCAAUGCCGCGUGAGUGAAGAAGGCCUUCGGGUUGUAAAGCUCUUUUGUCAGGGAAGAAACGGUAGUAGCGAAUAACUAUUACUAAUGACGGUACCUGAAGAAUAAGCACCGGCUAACUACGUGCCAGCAGCCGCGGUAAUACGUAGGGUGCAAGCGUUAAUCGGAAUUACUGGGCGUAAAGCGUGCGCAGGCGGUUGUGUAAGUCAGAUGUGAAAUCCCCGGGCUCAACCUGGGAAUUGCAUUUGAGACUGCACGGCUAGAGUGUGUCAGAGGGGGGUAGAAUUCCACGUGUAGCAGUGAAAUGCGUAGAUAUGUGGAGGAAUACCGAUGGCGAAGGCAGCCCCCUGGGAUAACACUGACGCUCAUGCACGAAAGCGUGGGGAGCAAACAGGAUUAGAUACCCAGGUAGUCCCUGAGCGGGCUGGCAAGGCGCAU